GGGUUGUGAGGUUAAGCGACUAAGCGUACACGGUGGAUGCCCUGGCAGUCAGAGGCGAUGAAGGACGUGCUAAUCUGCGAUAAGCGUCGGUAAGGUGAUAUGAACCGUUAUAACCGGCGAUUUCCGAAUGGGGAAACCCAGUGUGUUUCGACACACUAUCAUUAACUGAAUCCAUAGGUUAAUGAGGCGAACCGGGGGAACUGAAACAUCUAAGUACCCCGAGGAAAAGAAAUCAACCGAGAUUCCCCCAGUAGCGGCGAGCGAACGGGGAGCAGCCCAGAGCCUGAAUCAGUGUGUGUGUUAGUGGAAGCGUCUGGAAAGGCGCGCGAUACAGGGUGACAGCCCCGUACACAAAAAUGCACAUGCUGUGAGCUCGAUGAGUAGGGCGGGACACGUGGUAUCCUGUCUGAAUAUGGGGGGACCAUCCUCCAAGGCUAAAUACUCCUGACUGACCGAUAGUGAACCAGUACCGUGAGGGAAAGGCGAAAAGAACCCCGGCGAGGGGAGUGAAAAAGAACCUGAAACCGUGUACGUACAAGCAGUGGGAGCACGCUUAGGCGUGUGACUGCGUACCUUUUGUAUAAUGGGUCAGCGACUUAUAUUCUGUAGCAAGGUUAACCGAAUAGGGGAGCCGAAGGGAAACCGAGUCUUAACUGGGCGUUAAGUUGCAGGGUAUAGACCCGAAACCCGGUGAUCUAGCCAUGGGCAGGUUGAAGGUUGGGUAACACUAACUGGAGGACCGAACCGACUAAUGUUGAAAAAUUAGCGGAUGACUUGUGGCUGGGGGUGAAAGGCCAAUCAAACCGGGAGAUAGCUGGUUCUCCCCGAAAGCUAUUUAGGUAGCGCCUCGUGAAUUCAUCUCCGGGGGUAGAGCACUGUUUCGGCAAGGGGGUCAUCCCGACUUACCAACCCGAUGCAAACUGCGAAUACCGGAGAAUGUUAUCACGGGAGACACACGGCGGGUGCUAACGUCCGUCGUGAAGAGGGAAACAACCCAGACCGCCAGCUAAGGUCCCAAAGUCAUGGUUAAGUGGGAAACGAUGUGGGAAGGCCCAGACAGCCAGGAUGUUGGCUUAGAAGCAGCCAUCAUUUAAAGAAAGCGUAAUAGCUCACUGGUCGAGUCGGCCUGCGCGGAAGAUGUAACGGGGCUAAACCAUGCACCGAAGCUGCGGCAGCGACGCUUAUGCGUUGUUGGGUAGGGGAGCGUUCUGUAAGCCUGCGAAGGUGUGCUGUGAGGCAUGCUGGAGGUAUCAGAAGUGCGAAUGCUGACAUAAGUAACGAUAAAGCGGGUGAAAAGCCCGCUCGCCGGAAGACCAAGGGUUCCUGUCCAACGUUAAUCGGGGCAGGGUGAGUCGACCCCUAAGGCGAGGCCGAAAGGCGUAGUCGAUGGGAAACAGGUUAAUAUUCCUGUACUUGGUGUUACUGCGAAGGGGGGACGGAGAAGGCUAUGUUGGCCGGGCGACGGUUGUCCCGGUUUAAGCGUGUAGGCUGGUUUUCCAGGCAAAUCCGGAAAAUCAAGGCUGAGGCGUGAUGACGAGGCACUACGGUGCUGAAGCAACAAAUGCCCUGCUUCCAGGAAAAGCCUCUAAGCAUCAGGUAACAUCAAAUCGUACCCCAAACCGACACAGGUGGUCAGGUAGAGAAUACCAAGGCGCUUGAGAGAACUCGGGUGAAGGAACUAGGCAAAAUGGUGCCGUAACUUCGGGAGAAGGCACGCUGAUAUGUAGGUGAAGUCCCUUGCGGAUGGAGCUGAAAUCAGUCGAAGAUACCAGCUGGCUGCAACUGUUUAUUAAAAACACAGCACUGUGCAAACACGAAAGUGGACGUAUACGGUGUGACGCCUGCCCGGUGCCGGAAGGUUAAUUGAUGGGGUUAGCGGUAACGCGAAGCUCUUGAUCGAAGCCCCGGUAAACGGCGGCCGUAACUAUAACGGUCCUAAGGUAGCGAAAUUCCUUGUCGGGUAAGUUCCGACCUGCACGAAUGGCGUAAUGAUGGCCAGGCUGUCUCCACCCGAGACUCAGUGAAAUUGAACUCGCUGUGAAGAUGCAGUGUACCCGCGGCAAGACGGAAAGACCCCGUGAACCUUUACUAUAGCUUGACACUGAACAUUGAGCCUUGAUGUGUAGGAUAGGUGGGAGGCUUUGAAGUGUGGACGCCAGUCUGCAUGGAGCCGACCUUGAAAUACCACCCUUUAAUGUUUGAUGUUCUAACGUUGACCCGUGAUCCGGGUUGCGGACAGUGUCUGGUGGGUAGUUUGACUGGGGCGGUCUCCUCCUAAAGAGUAACGGAGGAGCACGAAGGUUGGCUAAUCCUGGUCGGACAUCAGGAGGUUAGUGCAAUGGCAUAAGCCAGCUUGACUGCGAGCGUGACGGCGCGAGCAGGUGCGAAAGCAGGUCAUAGUGAUCCGGUGGUUCUGAAUGGAAGGGCCAUCGCUCAACGGAUAAAAGGUACUCCGGGGAUAACAGGCUGAUACCGCCCAAGAGUUCAUAUCGACGGCGGUGUUUGGCACCUCGAUGUCGGCUCAUCACAUCCUGGGGCUGAAGUAGGUCCCAAGGGUAUGGCUGUUCGCCAUUUAAAGUGGUACGCGAGCUGGGUUUAGAACGUCGUGAGACAGUUCGGUCCCUAUCUGCCGUGGGCGCUGGAGAACUGAGGGGGGCUGCUCCUAGUACGAGAGGACCGGAGUGGACGCAUCACUGGUGUUCGGGUUGUCAUGCCAAUGGCACUGCCCGGUAGCUAAAUGCGGAAGAGAUAAGUGCUGAAAGCAUCUAAGCACGAAACUUGCCCCGAGAUGAGUUCUCCCUGACUCCUUGAGAGUCCUGAAGGAACGUUGAAGACGACGACGUUGAUAGGCCGGGUGUGUAAGCGCAGCGAUGCGUUGAGCUAACCGGUACUAAUGAACCGUGAGGCUUAACCUUACAACGCCGAAGCUGUU
rnacentral:rRNA from 1 species